rnacentral:rRNA from 1 species
AUUGAACGCUGGCGGCAGGCCUAACACAUGCAAGUCGAACGGUAGCACAGAGAGCUUGCUCUCGGGUGACGAGUGGCGGACGGGUGAGUAACGUCUGGGAAACUGCCCGAUGGAGGGGGAUAACUACUGGAAACGGUAGCUAAUACCGCAUAACGUCGCAAGACCAAAGUGGGGGACCUUCGGGCCUCACACCAUCGGAUGUGCCCAGAUGGGAUUAGCUAGUAGGUGGGGUAAUGGCUCACCUAGGCGACGAUCCCUAGCUGGUCUGAGAGGAUGAGCAGCCACACUGGAACGGAGACACGGUCCAGACUCCUACGGGAGGCAGCAGUGGGGAAUAUUGCACAAUGGGCGCAAGCCUGAUGCAGCCAUGCCGCGUGUAUGAAGAAGGCCUUCGGGUUGUAAAGUACUUUCAGCGGGGAGGAAGGCGGUGAAGUUAAUAGCUUCACCGAUUGACGUUACCCGCAGAAGAAGCACCGGCUAACUCCGUGCCAGCAGCCGCGGUAA